AGAGUUUGAUCAUGGCUCAGGAUGAACGCUGGCGGCGUGCCUAACACAUGCAAGUCGAACGAAACUUCUUUAUCACCGAGUGCUUGCACUCACCGAUAAAGAGUUGAGUGGCGAACGGGUGAGUAACACGUGGGCAACCUGCCCAAAAGAGGGGGAUAACACUUGGAAACAGGUGCUAAUACCGCAUAACCAUAGUUACCGCAUGGUAACUAUGUAAAAGGUGGCUAUGCUACCGCUUUUGGAUGGGCCCGCGGCGCAUUAGCUAGUUGGUGGGGUAAAGGCUUACCAAGGCAAUGAUGCGUAGCCGAACUGAGAGGUUGAUCGGCCACAUUGGGACUGAGACACGGCCCAAACUCCUACGGGAGGCAGCAGUAGGGAAUCUUCCACAAUGGGCGAAAGCCUGAUGGAGCAACGCCGCGUGGGUGAAGAAGGUCUUCGGAUCGUAAAACCCUGUUGUUAGAGAAGAAAGUGCGUGAGAGUAACUGUUCACGUUUCGACGGUAUCUAACCAGAAAGCCACGGCUAACUACGUGCCAGCAGCCGCGGUAAUACGUAGGUGGCAAGCGUUAUCCGGAUUUAUUGGGCGUAAAGGGAACGCAGGCGGUCUUUUAAGUCUGAUGUGAAAGCCUUCGGCUUAACCGGAGUAGUGCAUUGGA
rnacentral:rRNA from 1 species